UGCAGAUGAUGAUCAUUUAUUGCUGUGAAAAAAAAUGUGAUGCCAACCACCAAGAUCGCUGAUGCA